rnacentral:rRNA from 1 species
GACGAACGCUGGCGGCGUGCUUAACACAUGCAAGUCGAACGGAAAGGCCCUGCUUUUGUGGGGUGCUCGAGUGGCGAACGGGUGAGUAACACGUGAGUAACCUGCCCUUGACUUUGGGAUAACUUCAGGAAACUGGGGCUAAUACCGGAUAGGAGCUCCUGCUGCAUGGUGGGGGUUGGAAAGUUUCGGCGGUUGGGGAUGGACUCGCGGCUUAUCAGCUUGUUGGUGGGGUAGUGGCUUACCAAGGCUUUGACGGGUAGCCGGCCUGAGAGGGUGACCGGCCACAUUGGGACUGAGAUACGGCCCAGACUCCUACGGGAGGCAGCAGUGGGGAAUAUUGCACAAUGGGCGGAAGCCUGAUGCAGCAACGCUGCGUGCGGGAUGACGGCCUUCGGGUUGUAAACCGCUUUCGCCUGUGACGAAGCGUGAGUGACGGUAAUGGGUAAGGAAGCACCGGCUAACUACGUG